CCCAGACUCCUACGGGAGGCAGCAGUGGGGAAUAUUGCACAAUGGGGGAAACCCUGAUGCAGCGACGCCGCGUGGAGGAAGAAGGUCUUCGGAUUGUAAACUCCUGUUGUUGAGGAAGAUAAUGACGGUACUCAACAAGGAAGUGACGGCUAACUACGUGCCAGCAGCCGCGGUAAAACGUAGGUCACAAGCGUUGUCCGGAAUUACUGGGUGUAAAGGGAGCGCAGGCGGGAAGACAAGUUGGAAGUGAAAUCUAUGGGCUCAACCCAUAAACUGCUUUCAAAACUGUUUUUCUUGAGUAGUGCAGAGGUAGGCGGAAUUCCCGGUGUAGCGGUGGAAUGCGUAGAUAUCGGGAGGAACACCAGUGGCGAAGGCGGCCUACUGGGCACCAACUGACGCUGAGGCUCGAAAGUGUGGGUAGCAAACAGGAUUAGAUACCCUGGUAGUCCACACCGUAAACGAUGAUUACUAGGUGUUGGAGGAUUGACCCCUUCAGUGCCGCAGUUAACACAAUAAGUAAUCCACCUGGGGAGUACGACCGCAAGGUUGAAACUCAAAGGAAUUGACGGGGGCCCGCACAAGCAGUGGAGUAUGUGGUUUAAUUCGACGCAACGCGAAGAACCUUACCAAGUCUUGACAUCCUGCGACGAUGCUGGAAACAGGAUUUUCCUUCGGAACGCAGAGACAGGUGGUGCAUGGUUGUCGUCAGCUCGUGUCGUGAGAUGUUGGGUUAAGUCCCGCAACGAGCGCAACCCUUACUGUCAGUUACUACGCAAGAGGACUCUGGCAGGACUGCCGUUGACAAAACGGAGGAAGGUGGGGAUGACGUCAAAUCAUCAUGCCCUUUAUGACUUGGGCUACACACGUACUACAAUGGCGUUAAACAAAGAGAAGCAAGACCGCGAGGUGGAGCAAAACUCAGAAACAACGUCCCAGUUCGGACUGCAGGCUGCAACUCGCCUGCACGAAGUCGGAAUUGCUAGUAAUCGUGGAUCAG
rnacentral:rRNA from 1 species